CUAUCUCAACGUGCUGUUCCUGCUUUGUCUCCAGGUCGUUGACCAGGCAGUGCCUCUGCCUAGGAUACCUUCCACCUUUGUCAUCUGGCCAAGUCCUCCUCAUCCUUCAGGCCUUAGACUGCUUCCCAUGGAAAAUCUCCCCUCACCCCAAGGAUAAGCCGGGAAUUGCACCAUGAGCCCCUAACGCCUCCUCAGUGCCUACCACAACCCUCAGCACAGUACAUUCCAGGUCAGGAAUGGUACACUCAAAAACAUCUAUUUAACACAAAGAAGACAGCAACAGGAAAACAAAAAGACAUAGACAAUACAGGUGCUAAAAAUAAAGCCUCUUUUGCAACCCAGAACUCAUUGCUCAGUAUGAGUUUUGAUACAUAUAAGAAGGAACAUGAUAAAAAAAAAAAAAA